CAGAGAUUAAACAAUAUUUGGGAAGAGGGAUUUGGAGCACUCUCAUUUUGGACACUUCUGGGCUAGCGUGGCCCUUUUGUUCAGGGUCACCUGUACCCAUGUGCACUGCUGGUGUCCUCAGGUAGUCUUCAGUCUAACCUGGAGCACUUCUCAAGAAGGGAUCAUGGGGGUUUGAUGUGCCGAGUGAGGAGGCCUGAGCACUGCGCUUUGCAGGCAGGUGAUGUUGCUCUGCAGACAAAUUGUGGGGCAGAUAAAAGCCCAUGGUCCUGCUGGAGCCAGGACACGGUCAGAGUAAAUAUGAAUCGGGAUGAAAAAGAUUGAACCCUCCCCUGGAAACCCAAUCUGCAUGGGGAAGGAAUGGGCUGGGCUGGGGGCUCAGGAAGCCAUGAGCUCCUGCCUUGGGUCUGUGACCUCCCUGGGGACUCUGGGCCAAGGUCACAUUUCUGACUCUUCAUCCUUGGAAGCAGUUCACCUGGGAGCUCAGUUCAAGCAAGACUAGGGCACAGCCUGAGCAAGGGCCAAUGUUAGGGUUCUGGAGGUACCACAGCACCCCCGUGGAGCAGGGGUGCAGAAGGGACCACCCUGAUGGUCGUGAACUUCUGUCCUCUGGUGCUUCAUCAGGAUUCCCUGAAUUGAUCAUUCCUCCCUGUUACGGUUUGGACGUGAAGUGUUUCCCAAAACUCUCAUGUGAGACAAUGCAAGAGGCUUCAGAGAAGAAAUGAUUCGGUUACAAAAGCCUUAACCCAAUCAGUGAAUUAAUAACCCGAUGGGAUUAACUGAGUGGCAACUGAAGGCAGGUGGUGUGUGGCUGGAAAAGGCGGGGGGCUGGGGGCAUGGCUUAGGGGUAUAUAUUUGUAUCUGGCAAGUGGUCUCCCUCUCCCCCUCUCCAGAUCAAUCACUAAUCUGCUGCCUGUCUUUAUGUAUUUGCCUAUUCUGGGUACUUAAUAUAAAUGGAAUCAUAAAAUAUGUGACCUUUUACGUACACCUUCUUUUACUUAAUGUUUUCAAUGUCAUUCAUAUCAUGUAAUUUUCAUUCCUUUUCAUGGCCAAAUAAUAUUUCUCUUAUGUAAACAUAACAUCUGUUUACUCAUUUAUCAACUGUUUUAUGCAUUGAGUUGUUUCUACCUUUUGGAUAAUAUAAAUUGGCGCUGCUAUGAACAUUGGUGCAGAAGUAGUUGUGUGAAUACCUGUAUUCAAUUCUUGUGUCUUACACCUAGGGGUGAAAUUCUAGGUCAUAUGGUAAUUCUAUACUUAAUAUUUUGAGGAAAUGCUAAACUGUUUUUCAAGUGACUGCACUGUUUUACUUUCCUGCCAGCAAUGAGGUUUAUAUUACUUUAUUAUCAGCCUCAACUGUGAGAAAAACAUGUUCCUCUUCUGGGAAAAUGAGGCCCAGAAAGCCAAAUUAUCCUACUUAGUGCUGAUGUGGGAAGUGGGAACUCAAGACUGCUCUGUUUUGCUUCCUCAAUACAGCAGGCUCUGGGCCAGGGAUGUAGCUCAGUGGUAUAGCACUUGCCUACCACAUGUGAGGCUUUGGAUUUGAUUCCUAAAUGCAAAACGCAAUGACAACAGACAAUCAACCAACCAAACCCUCCAAUACAGC
rnacentral:lncRNA from 1 species